UCGCCACGUUAGCGAUAAGGUUUCCCCUCUGGCGCUCGCCGGAGGGAAUGAAAAGGGAAUCUGGUGCGGCAGCCAUAAGGUUGCCAAUUCCAGGGCUGCCCCCGCAACUGUAAACAGCGAGUCACCCCCCGCGCACCACUGGCUGAAAUGGCUGGGAAGGUUGGGGAAGCGAUGAAGACCUGUGAGCCAGGAGACCUGCCGAUGUCGUAUUCCAGCUU
rnacentral:ncRNA from 19 species